rnacentral:rRNA from 1 species
CAGUCGCCGCGGGAAUACGUAGGGUGCAAGCGUUAAUCGGAAUUACUGGGCGUAAAGCGUGCGCAGGCGGUUAUAUAAGACAGAUGUGAAAUCCCCGGGCUCAACCUGGGAACUGCAUUUGUGACUGUAUAGCUAGAGUACGGCAGAGGGGGAUGGAAUUCCGCGUGUAGCAGUGAAAUGCGUAGAUAUGCGGAGGAACACCGAUGGCGAAGGCAAUCCCCUGGGCCUGUACUGACGCUCAUGCACGAAAGCGUGGGGAGCAAACAGGAUUAGAAACCCCCGUAGUCCCUGUCUCUUAUAC